AUGGAGGCCAAACGAAACUUACUUUUGCUGCAAUAUUAUUAGGGGGUAGACUGUAAAUUUAAGUUUGGACAAAUGUUUAUUGAGGAACUGAAGAAAAGGAAUUUAGAGAAUGGAGAGGGACAACAUUUUUGUGGUGUAAAGAAAGAUCAUAGUGGUGUGUUGACAGUGUUGUUUGGAUGGUAAAUGUUCUUUGACUUUUAUGAUAACGGGUUUCUUUGGUUGUGCUGGUGGUGAGGAGUAUGCUUCUGGGGAGGCUUUGCUACGAUUGUAUCCGUUUGGUAACCCAACUACUAAUUGUUCUACGUUUAGAAUUCGUUUCCCUUUUGCUUGUGUGUUUGAAGAAGAAUGGAAAAGAUAUGAUUAUUUGGUCUAAAAUUUUGUCUAAUGCUGCUUGCUACUCAUUUAAUUGAUGUCUAAUAUAGCUUUUUGAUUGUUCAACAGAUGUCCAAUGUAGCCUCUUCAAAGAUUGUGCUUUACAUUUAACUUAUGGGAUCUGGUUUUUGAUUAUGUGUUUGCUUUCUUAAAUUUUUUCAUGACAGGAAAUGCACCAAGCUCAAUAAACCAAAUGACAGUUACACAAAUGGAAGUUCCGUCAAUGAGGAAGAAGUGCCUGUGAUUGAUGUUAUAUAGUUCGGGUACUUUAAGGUUUUGGAUACUGGAGUUUUACCGAAAAAUUAGUUGGUGGUUGUUAAGGCUAAGCUUGUGUGGAAGAUUGUUGAGAAGAAAAUUAUGGGGGACGAUGGUGCUGUUUUACUAAUUAUUGAGUUUGUUGUUUUUUUUAUUUUUUUAAAUGUAUUAGAUUUUUAGGUGCUUUAAAAUUUGGGAUUUGAAUUUUGUACAGAUAUUGUUACAUUUUGGAGUUCAAUUAAUAAUGAUUA